GGUGAUUUAGCUCAGUGGUAGAGCACUUGCCUAGCAAGCGAAAGGCCCUGGGUUCGGUCCCCAGCUCCA
rnacentral:tRNA from 1 species